rfam:Oryza meridionalis cultivar OR44 (W2112) chromosome 6, whole genome shotgun sequence.
AAUAAGUGUGGUUUUACACUGUUCGUAUCUAAUGUUUAACUGUACGUCUUAUUAGAAAUUUUUUAGAUUAGUAUUUGUAUUGUUGCUAGAUGAUAAAAUACGAAUACUAAUACUUUAUGUGUGACUAUUUUUUAUAAUUUUUUUUUAAAUAAGACAGAUGGUUAAACGUUGGGGACAGAUACCCACGACUGCACUUAUU